rnacentral:snRNA from 1 species
GUGCUCUUUUUGGCAGCACAUAUACUAAAAUUGGAAUGAUACAGAGAAGAUUAGCAUGACCUCUGCACAAGGAUGACAUACGAAUUCGAGAAGCGUUCCCUGUUGAC